AACGAACGCUGGCGGCAGGCUUAACACAUGCAAGUCGAACGCAUCCUUCGGGGUGAGUGGCAGACGGGUGAGUAACGUGUGGCAACGUGCCCUUCAGUUCGGGAUAACCCAGGGAAACUUGGGCUAAUACCGGAUACGUGCGAGAGCAGAAAGAUUUAUCGCUGAAGGAUCGGCCCGCGUCUGAUUAGCUAGUUGGUGGGGUAAUGGCCCACCAAGGCGACGAUCAGUAGCUGGUCUGAGAGGAUGAUCAGCCACAUUGGGACUGAGACACGGCCCAAACUCCUACGGGAGGCAGCAGUGGGGAAUAUUGGACAAUGGGCGCAAGCCUGAUCCAGCCAUGCCGCGUGAGUGAUGAAGGCCUUAGGGUUGUAAAGCUCUUUCGUCCGGGACGAUAAUGACGGUACCGGAAGAAGAAGCCCCGGCUAACUUCGUGCCAGCAGCCGCGGUAA
rnacentral:rRNA from 1 species